CAUCUUGAGCAACCAUGGGAGCUUCAACAGUUGAAGAUCCUGGAUCUGCAACUAGUGCACCUGCACUUGGAUCUGCAACUAGUGUACCUGCACUUGGAUCUGCAACUGGUGCAACCGCAGCUGGUUCAGCAACCUCCAUGCUUGCAAUGACUUCAUCCCACCUCUGUAACACUUCAGGUGGUAUUUCCCAAGAAUCAAGCUAUAAAGAGCAUGAAAUUGUAUUAGUUAAAAAAUCUCAAAUAUGUAUGAUAAUAUGUGUUUGAUUUCCUUACCCUAGAAGUUUGUGUGUUGGUUUCAGCUUGUGUGUUGGUUUCAGCUUGUGUGUUGGUUGAAGAUUGCCCAGCUCGGGUGUUGUUUCCAUUCUGUCCACGAGUUCUUCUUCUCCUUCUAAGUUGGCCAGCUUCUGGAUUGGUGCCACCCUCCACUUCAGCUUCCACUUCCACUUCAGCUUCUGUGUUGGUUCCAUUCUGUCCAUUAGCCAUUCUUCUCCUCCUAGGUUGACUUGGUCCUGAGUUACUGCUCACUGCAUUGUUCCUGCAACCUCUUACAUUGUGGCCAUAUUCACCACAUCUACUGCAUCUAUUCCUUGGUCCUCUUGCUGCAUUUGGUUCCUCAUGGGGGUCUCUCCUUCUUAAUUUUUUAGGCCUUCCAGGGCCUCUCUUGUAUGCAGGAGGUAGUAUUUUUGGAUCAUUAGUUGCUGGCCACGUCUUUUGGCCAUUGAUUGGAUGAAUCUCCCAACUAUAAGUUGCCUCAUAAGCUGCCCUCUUGUAAAAUGGAUCAACAUAUUGUUCUACAGAUCCACCAUUGUAGGAAAUUGCAGCCACAGCAUGUCUGCAAGGGAUGCCCACUAACUCCCAGAAAUUGCAGCUGCAUGUACCCUUCCUUAGAUCCACCACGAAUCUGUCCAAGUUCUCAAGAAAGGCUACCUCAAACUUGUUAUCCCCACAUAAUUGCGGAACCCAUCUGUUACUUUUCUUAGUCUCCCAUUCCAACCUCUUAAGAGGCUUUGGCAUCACAUUCCCUCUGUAUUUCCUAAAUUUCUCCAUCAAUGUAGCAAACCUUCCCAUACAGUAAGUUCUAAUCCACUCCAUCAUUGUUAAGAUGGGCUUGUCUCUAGCCAGCAAGAUUGUAGCAUUGAAAGACUCUGAAAGGUUAUUCAUCAACACAUCGCAUUUGGGAUAAAAGUCAAAAGAAUGCUUACACCAUGACUUCGUAGGGAUUGCAAGCAACCAUGUGUAAGCAGCCAAAUCUGCCUCUCUCAACUCCAACAUCUUCUCAGUCCAUAGCUGAUGGUAUGUAGCCUUGGCAGCUGCCAUCAUUAAAUCUCUUAUCUUCACUCCACCCCCAAAUUUCUUUUUAAAAUUUGCAUAUAAGUGCCUUAAGCAAAAUCUGUGUUCUAGUCUCCUCUCAUCAAGCACUUGCAUCAAGCCCUGAAAUGGAAAUGAAAAUGACAUAAUGCACAUAUUAAAUAUACCAUCCUAAAUUGCAGUUCAGAUUAAAAUGGAAGUGAAUAAGGGACAUAAAGAGUACCUUCUGUUGGUCAGAUAUGAAUAUCCACCUCUUAUCCUCACCAAUGUCUUGUAACAGAAGGUCAAUAAACCAGUUCCAACUGUCCUUUGUCUCUGACUCCACCACCCCAAAGGCCAAUGGAAAGUAUUGAUCAUUAGGGUCCCUAGCCACCGCACACAACAAAAUCCCACCAAAUUGGGUUUUCAAAUGGCACCCAUCAACUCCAAUAAAAGGCCUACACCCAGCAAGAAACCCUCUCUUGCAUCCAUCAAGGCACAUGUAAAACCUACCAAACCUUGGCUGUAUACUCCCUGCAGGAUUCUCCAAAUUCAUCUUACAUGUGUUGCCAAUACAAACUCUCCUCAACUCAACACUAAAUCUGUAUAGCAUAUUAUAUUGUUUAGCUGCAUCACCCUCCACUAUCUUAGUAGCAAUUUGUCUAGCCUUCCAUGCCCUGUAUCUUGUUAUGCCAGUGCAGAAUCCAACCCUAACUUCAUCAACAAUCUCACUCAUGCUCAUCUUCUUCCUUGUCUUGAUUUUGUCAAGCAUCUUAUCAGCCACCCAUUUUGAAUUUGCAGUUGGGUUGUUGAAAACCCUCCCACAUGUGUGGCGGUCAUUUAGAGUCUUGAUCCUGAAUGUCUGUUUUCUCCCCACUUUGCUGCAUAGUAUAACAAAGUCACAAUUGUCUGCAUUCUUGCAUUGAACUCUGCAUCUGGCACUGUCAUUUUUUUUCAUAUAAACACUCCUCCCAUUAAACACAGAGUAGUCUCUUACUGCCUGUCUAAACUGUUGGAUAGAACCAAACUCCAUUCCCAGCUUGAAUUGAAACUCAGCCUUCAUGUCUUGUUUGUGGUAUUGUGGAUACCUUCUGAUGAAAUCCUCAGCUUCAGAGUCACUUCCACUAGACAUGCUCAACAACUCUUCACUCUCCCAUCCAUCAUCCAUAUCAUGGUCAUUGUGAUAUCCUUUGGCUGCUUGAGAAUCCAAACCCAUGGCUUCAUCUGUUGAAAGACCCUUCAUCUUCGUAAUUUGUUCAUUCAAUAAUGCUUCAGCCACCCCCAUAACACCAUUCUCAAACCCAUCACCUUCAGCAUCCCUCUCCUCCUCACUAUCAUUUAACUGAAUGCCAGCAACAGAAUUGUCAGUGUCUGAAUCAUCAUGAUCACCAUGAUUACCAGGGAUGCUAACAACCUCAUCAAGUUCAACAUCUUCAGGAACCUCAGUUGCAUGAGUAUCCUCAACCACACCAUCUUCAUCACUAGACAACUCAACUACUAUCGCCUUGCCUUUAUUAUUUUUGGUUUGAUGCACAACUGCCCUCAUCCUUGCAGACCUCCUUUGAGCUGACUUCUUGGUAGGGGGCUUAAAAUGAGGGUUCUUCACACUUGGUGUCACAGCCGCUGCCUCUGGAGGUGCAGAAGCACCAACAGCCUUGGAUGCAGAAGGGGUCUUCUUUCUAGGAAAUUUCUUUCUAGGUGACUUCUUUGUAGGUGAGCUCUUUCUUUUUCUUUUUCCAGUAGGAUUAGGCUCCUCAACAAUAGGCUCCUCAGCAAUUGGCUCCUCAGCAAUUGGCUCCUCAGCAAUAGGCUCCUCAGCAAUUGGCUCCUCAGCAAUAGGCUCCUCAGCAAUUGGCUCCUCAGCAAUAGGCUCCUCAGCAAUUGGCUCCUCAGCAAUUGGCUCCUCAGCAAUAGGGUCCUCAGCAAUUGGCUCCUCAGCAAUAGGGUUCUCAUGAAAUGGCUCCUCAACAAUAUGGUCCUCAACAUCAGGCAGCAUUUCAAUUGGAUCAACCACUUCUACAAUAUGCUCCACAAAUAGACUUACUUCACACUUGUUAUGAAUAGCAUAUGAAGCAAGUACCAUAGCAUCAUCAUCCGUAAGCAACUCCCUAUACAGGUUUUCAGCAGCAUCCUCAUUUGUUCUCCACCAUAUCUUGAAGUUUGCAGUGUACCCAAGGGACUUCACAAGAGUGCGACAUUCAAAAUAGGACCACAUAUCUAUGUCAUUUCCAUGGCAUGCAUGAACCUCAACAAGGUCUCCUGCAUAAUGCACAUGUGGCUCAAAACGAAAAGCCCCCAUGUGGUGAAUCAGAACCGUGAAAGACAUCCUACAAAAGAAACAACGAAUCAUUUCAACAAGGGAAAAUAGAAACCCUAAAUCAAAACCCCAUUCCCGUUCAACAAAAUGGAACGCUUAAACCCUUAAACCGUAACACGAUUAUGCACCUAAACCCAGCAAACCCAGGAACCCUAAGUCUAUUGUACCCAGAAAACCCUAAGCCCGAACUGCUAAAACGCAAAAAAUCAUACUAACCUUGCGAUUCUUUCGCUCGGUUGAAGUCUUCUUCCUUCUUGUCACGUUCGUUCACGCGAUUUGUUCUUUCCCUUUGUUCUUCACGCAAGUUGUUCGAUUUGUUCGAAGCAAAUGGCUGGGUAAUGUUUCUGGUCAAGUGUUGGAAGAUGAAGAUAAUGUUUCUGAUCAAGUGUUGGAAAUGGAAUAAGUGUUGGAAAUGAAUAAGUGUUGGAAUUGAAUUGUUGGAUAAGUGUGGGUCAAAUUACAUAAUGUUCGGUUUUAAUGUUGGGUUGUUUAGAUUGGAAAUGUUAAUUUUGUAAUUGAGAAGAAGAAAAAAAAAACGUCAUUUUUAAUUUUUACUGAAAAAAAAAAUUCCAGGUCAACCUCAUUUAAUACGUGGCAAUGCCACGUCCCCUCAAGUGAUGGCAUUUGGCAAGGACUGGCGGAAUUAAGGGUGGUUUGUUACGAAAAGUGUAAUCGGAGGGAUGGUUGCUUUACUUUGAAAAAAAUAGGGGCCAAACUCAAACUGUCCUCAAUACACAGGGACCAUAAACAUAUUUAACCCGAGUUUAAAUGGUCUAUGAGCUCUUUUUUUUAGAAAUAUUAUAAUACACCAGUAAUAGAGUGUCAUUUGAAUGAGUAUAAUUUAGCGUUUCAACAUAUUACAAUACAACCUUUUAGAAAUGAUGAAUCUUUUAUUUUCCUUUCUCUGUCAUGUAUAUUUGAAACCUGAGGCGCCCAAAUCAAUUAGCCCACAAUUAUCCACGAACUGAGAAAAUUUCAAUGUCUUACUAGUCGAAAAAAAAACACCCCCUCUCACCUAUGAGAGAUAAGAUAUUUCAUUGAAAUCCCCUAUAAAAACCCAAAAAGAAAAAAAGAAAGAAGUUUAUAAUACAAAAGGAAUCACAUAAUUAGUUAAAAAACGGAAUCCUCAAUAAUGGAUUUUCGGAGAAGUUUAUUACUUUCCUUGUACACGAUUCUAAUGAAUGAACUCUUCCUUUGUGGCUUCACCAGUUCCCCUUCCAUAAGUUUGCUUCAAAAUGAUACAUUUUUCCCAUGGCAUUCAUUGAUAUCAUCUAAUGGAUCUCCGUUAUUAAUCGGGGGAGCAUUUCCUCCAACCAUGAAACCCUAGCACACAUGUUUUCUUUUUCUAUACUAUUUAUGUGUUGCUUAUUUCUUUAAAGAGGAUGGAAUAAAUGAAGAUGGAGAGGAAAAGGGAGGGAAUAAGAAAUCUUUUUGUGUUUGGUAGGGUUGAAAAUGUAUGAAAAAUGUUGUACUGUAGGGGUGUGCAGAACUCAAUCUAGCUUGAACAAAUUAAGUCGGUUAUGACCUGGUCCGAAACAUUAAAGAGGGAAGAAAAAGGAAGUCCUACAACAAAUGUGGUAACAGGUUGGGAUGAGUCUGAUGCUUGAGUAACCUGCCUAUCCCAAAUAGGCAACUUAUUUAUUAGCUUGCGAAUCUAAGGGUUUCAUUUCACACAUUUAAGUUUUGUUUGUUAGGGGCGAUUUGAGAGAGAGAGACCUGCCACUUUUUAUGAAUCUUCUCAAUUUGAGAAGAAAGUGCGAAAGAGAGAGUAAUUAUCUCACUUUCCUAUAUUACCCUCUAUCAUUAUCAUACUUAUUUAUAAAUAUAUUUAUAUUAAAAAUUCCAUUUUACAGAAAAACAAUAUUCCCUCUUCGCACUUUCUAUUCAACCAAACAAGAGGAGACCACAUCAUUAUUUCUCUUCUCUUUUCUUUUCUCUACUCAUCUUCUCUCCUCUCUCUUUCUCUCUUCUCUAUUUCUCUUAUCAACCAAACAAAGAGUUACUACAGUUCACCCUUUUUGCCUUCCCUUUUCUCUGCUAACCCUGCGCCACGGCUACCUUCAUCUCCUUCCCAAGUCGCCAUCGCCAUCUGCUCCUUGCAAGAUGUUGAGGCCGGCGCCGCCGUAUUGCUCCGUCGCCGCCGCAACCGCCAUCUUCCCCCAUUUAAGUUUUCGUCGCACAGCCGUCAGUGUAUGUAGACUGUAGUGUUGCUGCUCUCUGCUCGUGUUCCUGGGUCUGCACUUCCAUGGUUGGCAUCGUCCUCUUCCGGUUCCGUAUUCGUACAAUCUGAAACCUCACUAAGCCAACCUGAUCCUUGGUUGCUUCUGCAGUUUCUAACAAUGAGAGGUUUGAUCCUAUAGUUGAUUCUUCUUAUGGCUGUGAUUUCAUUCCUACUGUGCUGUAUAGGUUGCGAACGGAACACUUAGCAUGGAAAAUGCUGUGAGGUUUCUUCACUUGAAGGCUCUCAAAGAUGUUUGAUACAAAGCGCAGGAUCCUCUUGGGCCUACCUGGUUGGCAGUGCUGUAUCGUCCUGGUCAGACCUGCCGGAUCUCUGAUUCCUCUUCUCGGUUACCCACCGAAGUCUGAUGAGGGCUGCCGGAUUUUGAAAAAGAAUGGACAGAUUCCUAAAGAGGGUUGCCAGAUCUCUAACCCAUGGAGAAUCGAUUAGUGACAAUCAAGAAGAUGUUGAAGGAACAUCGAGGCUAGUUGACUAAUCUUAAAGGCAGCAUGAAGAGGAACAAAACUGCCAUGAACCAUGUUCUGUAGCGUUUAGAGAGGAUGAAUAAGAAGGCACCCAAACCUAGGGUGGGGAGUCAUUAUGAAGAGGAAAAGGUGCUGGAAAGUCUGGGGUCAAGGUAGAAUUAUCCUUCCUUAAUGGAAGAGACCUGUUGGUGUGGAUAGCUAGGGCCGAAUUUUUUUUUUGCAGUAUACCGUGUGAAGAAAGAACAGAAGGUUCGAUUGCCUUUCCUUAGCAUGGAAGGGGAGGCAAGGCAUUGGUCUCGUUCCUUGCGAAGAAAGACACCUAUGCUGUCAUAGAAUUCUUUUAUUCCAGCCAAAACCUAUGCUGUCAUAGAAUUCUUUUAUUCCAGCCUUCAGAAAUUUGGCGAAGGGGAUAUCAAGGGAGGAAGAGGAAACCUACAAACAAAUUUGGAAGGAUCAAAGAUGAAGAUAAUAUGGUAAAGGUUGAUGGGUCUCAUAUGGGCAGUGAUGAAACCCAUUCUUUGGGAAAAAGGUCCUAGCCUCAAAAUUGGAAAAACAAGAUGAAAUUGUUGGUCCAAAUCCAUACAUCAAACCCAUUAACACUAAUGGUGCACUUAAGCUUAUUUAUCAGGUUGGAUAUAAGAGGAACUAUUGACCAUGGAAGAUGUUGAGCAACCAACAAAGAAAGUCACCGUGGGAAUGCCAGCAACACAAUGGAUCAAUGUGUAUAAUUCACGCUGGCCAAUGAAGCACAAAGUACCCUUAAAAUGUUGCUAAUUCAUCUUCCAUGGUCAAUUUCCUCUCUUAUGUUCAACUUGAUAAAUAAGCUUAUGUGCACCAUCAGUGUUUAUGGGUCUAAUGUAUGGAUUUGGACCAACAUUUCCAUCUUGUUCUUCAGUUUUGAGUCUAACUCUUUUUCACAAAGAAUUAGUUUCGUCCCAUAUGAGACCAUCAACCUUUACCCUAAUGGUUCAGCUUUGAUCCUUCCAAAUUUGGUUGUUUGUGGGUUUUCCUCUUUCUCCUUGAUAUCCUCCCUUCACCAAAUUUCUGAAGUAAGACUGAAUAAAAGAAUUCCCUUCAUCAUGUACUAUUUUACUUGUUUAAUUUCAAAUAGUUAAUUUAGUUAAGGAGUUGAUAUUGGUUAACAUGUAGCUUUUUUGUUUGUAUCAAUGUAAUUGGGACUUCUUGCAUUGAAUGGAAAGCACAACAAAAUUUGUAUAAAACUUUUAGGA